AUUGAACGCUGGCGGCAGGCUUAACACAUGCAAGUCGAGCGGGGUGAUGGUGCUUGCACUAUCACUUAGCGGCGGACGGGUGAGUAAUGCUUAGGAAUCUGCCUAUUAGUGGGGGACAACAUCUCGAAAGGGAUGCUAAUACCGCAUACGUCCUACGGGAGAAAGCAGGGGAUCACUUGUGACCUUGCGCUAAUAGAUGAGCCUAAGUCGGAUUAGCUAGUUGGUGGGGUAAAGGCCUACCAGGGCGACGAUCUGUAGCGGGUCUGAGAGGAUGAUCCGCCACACUGGGACUGAGACACGGCCCAGACUCCUACGGGAGGCAGCAGUGGGGAAUAUUGGACAAUGGGGGGAACCCUGAUCCAGCCAUGCCGCGUGUGUGAAGAAGGCCUUAUGGUUGUAAAGCACUUUAAGCGAGGAGGAGGCUCUUUUGGUUAAUAUCCAAGAUGAGUGGACGUUACUCGCAGAAUAAGCACCGGCUAACUCUGUGCCAGCCGCCGCAGUAA
rnacentral:rRNA from 1 species